rnacentral:misc_RNA from 1 species
UACGCAGGUGGCAAGCGUUGUCCGGAUUUAUUGGGCGUAAAGCGAGCGCAGGCGGCUCUUUAAGUCUGAUGUGAAAGCCCCCGGCUCAACCGGGGAGGGCCCUUGGAAACUGGGGAACUUGAGUGCAGAAGAGGAGAGUGGAAUUCCAUGUGUAGCGGUGAAAUGCGGAGAUAUGUGGAGGAACACCAGUGGCGAAGGCGACUUUCUGGUCUGUAACUGACGCUGAGGCGCGAAAGCGGGGGGAGCAACCAGG